GAUGAACGCUGGCGGCGUGCCUAGUACAUGCAAGUCGAGCGAACGGGCGAGAAGCUUGCUUCUCUGAUGUUAGCGGCGGACGGGUGAGUAACACGUGGAUAACCUACCUAUAAGACUGGGAUAACUUCGGGAAACCGGAGCUAAUACCGGAUGAUAUUUUGAACCGCAUGGUUCAAAAGUGAAAGACGGUCUUGCUGUCACUUAUAGAUGGAUCCGCGCUGCAUUAGCUAGUUGGUAAGGUAACGGCUUACCAAGGCAACGAUGCAUAGCCGACCUGAGAGGGUGAUCGGCCACACUGGAACUGAGACACGGUCCAGACUCCUACGGGAGGCAGCAGUAGGGAAUCUUCCGCAAUGGGCGAAAGCCUGACGGAGCAACGCCGCGUGAGUGAUGAAGGUCUUCGGAUCGUAAAACUCUGUUAUUAGGGAAGAACAUAUGUGUAAGUAACUGUGCACAUCUUGACGGUACCUAAUCAGAAAGCCACGGCUAACUACGUG
rnacentral:rRNA from 1 species